UGGAAAGACUCCGUCCGAGCUCCUACAGGAGCCGAACUUCGAGCUUCUACGGCAAGCGGCCCUCGCCUGCCGCCUUAAUGCCCAAGACACUUAACGGGUUUUGCAGCAUCCGAGCUCCUCUUAGAUGGGCGGCUAGCCACCUUUCUUCGCCAGACACCUCAACCGAACUUCGGCCACGACUCUGCUCCACUUCCUGCGACGGAUUCUGCACGGCUCCAUCACUCCCUGGCAGGCCGCAGUAACGUCCAUUACUCUGCUCCACUUCCUGCGACAGAUUUUGCGUGGCUCCAUCACUCCUUGGCAGGCCGCAGUAACAGCCACGAUCCUGCUCCACUUCCUGCGACGG
rnacentral:lncRNA from 1 species